rfam:Rattus norvegicus chromosome 11, whole genome shotgun sequence.
GGGGAUUUAGCUCAGUGGUAGAGCGCUUGCCUAGCAAGCAAAAGGCCCUGGGUUCAGUCCCCAGACCCCCCA